rnacentral:rRNA from 1 species
UUACCUGACGAGCUGAGAGGAGGUGCAUGGCCGUCGCCAGCUMGUGCCGUGAGGCGUCCUGUUAAGUCAGGCAACGAGCGAGACCCCUAUCGGUAAUUGCUAACUGCCCAGAGAUGGGUAGAGGCUAGUUACAGAGACUGCCGUUGAUAAAACGGAGGAAGGAAGGGGCCACGGCAGGUCAGUAUGCCCCGAAACUCCUGGGCCACACGCGGGCUGCAAUGGUAGGGACAAUAGGUUCCGACCUCGAAAGAGGAAGGCAAUCCCGAAACCCUACCCCAGUUGUGAUCGAGGAUUGAAACCCGUCCUCGUGAAUAUGGAAUCCCUAGUAACCGCGUGUCAUCNCCGCGCGGUGAAUACGUCCCUGCUCC